GGUGGCUGAGUGGUAAAGUACUUGCCUUGCAUGCAUAAGGCCCUGGGUUCAAUUCCUCAGCACCA
rnacentral:tRNA from 1 species